rnacentral:lncRNA from 1 species
UGUCUUUAUAGUAGAAUGAUUUAUAAUCCUUUGGGUAUAUACCCAGUAAUAGGAUUGCUGAGUUAAAUCUUCACCUUUUACAUUUAAAGUUAUGAUUCAUCUCAAGCUAAGUUUUGUAUAUGGUAAGAAGAGGGAUCAUGUUUUGCUUUUUUGUUUUAUCUUGAGAUAGUCUAUAAUUCUAAUAUCAUUCAUUGCAAAGAAAAAUACUGGUUUUUAUUUGGUUUGCUUUUUUGUUGUAAUAAGGUCGUGCUUACUGUGUGCAAUUCCAAAAGGACACAACUUGUUCCUCCAGCUAACAGUUGAUAGGGCAUUGGGUCCUAACAUAGUGUUCACGUUUUGUAUUUUAACACUUUCUUAUUGUCUUUAUUUAUUUACUUACUUUCUUAUAUUUUAAAUUUAAAUUUUAUUUUAUUUAUUCAUUUCUUUUUGAGACAAGGUCUCACCCUGUUGCCCAGGCUGUAGUACAGUGGCACGAUCAUGGGUGACUGCAGACUCAAACUCCAGCUCACGCUAUCCUCCUGCUUCAGCAACCCGAUUAGAUGGGACUACAGGCAUGUGCCACCAGGCUGAGAGGUGACAGAGUGCUGGCAGCCCUCGCAGCCCUUGCUCACUCUCGGUGCCUCCUCAGUCUCAGCGCCCAUUCCGGCCGCGCUUGAGGAGCCGUUCAGCCUGCCGCUGCACUGUGGGAGCCCUUCUCUGGGCUGGCCAAGGCCAGAGCCAGCUCCCUCGGCUUGUGGGUAGGUGUGGAGGGAGAGGCACGGGUGGGAACUGGGGCUGCGUGCCACGUUUGCGGGCCAGCGCGAGUUCUGGGAGGGGGUGGAGUUGGCGGGCCCCACACUUGGAGCAGCCAGCCGGCCUGCAAGCCCCGGGAAGUGAGGGGCUUAGCACCUGGGCCAGCAGCUGCUGUGCUCAAUUUCUCGCCUGGCUGUAGCUGCUUCCCCACAGGGCAGGGCUUGGGACCUGCAGCCUGCCAUGCCUGAGCCUCCCUCCACCGCCAUGGGCUCCUGCGCAGCCCGAGCCUCCCCGAUGAGUGCCGCUUCCUGCUCCACGGUGCCUGGUCCCAUCGACCGCCCAAGGGCUGAGGAGUGCAGGCGCACGGCGUGGGGCUGGCAGGCAGCUCCACCUGCGGCCCCGGUGCGGGAUCCACUGGGUGAAGCCAGCUGGGCUCCUGAGUCUGGUGGGGACUUGGAGAACCUUUAUGUCUAGCUAAGGGAUUGUAUAUACACCAAUCGGCACUCUGUAUCUAGCUCAAGGUUUGUAAACACACCAAUCAGCACCCUAUGUCUAGCUCAGGGUUUGUGAAUGCACCAAUCGACACUCUAUAUCUAGCUACUCUGGUGGGGAUGUGGAGAACCUUUGUGUCUAGCUCAGGGAUUGUAAAUGCACCAAUCAACACCCUGUCAAACUGGACCAAUCAGCUCUCUGUAAAACAGACCAAUCGGCUCUCUGUAAAAUGGAGCAAUCAGCAGGAUGUGGGUGGGGCCAGAUAAGAGAAUAAAAGCAGGCCGCCAAGGCAGCAGUGGCAACCUGCGAGGGUCCCCUUCCCCACUGUGGAAGCUUUGUUCUUUCACUCUUUGCAAUAAAUCUUGCUGCUGCUCACCUUUUGGGUCCACACUGCCUUUAUGAGCUGUAACACUCAUGGCAAAGGUCUGCAGCUUCAUUCCUGAAGGCAGUGAGACCACGAACCCACCAGGAGGACCAAACAACUCCAGACACGCCGCCUUAAGAGCUGUAAAACUCACUGCGAAGGUCGGCAGCUUCACUCCUGAGCCAGCAAGACCACGAACCCAACAGAAAGAAGAAACUCCGAACACAUCUGAACAUCAGAAGGAACAAACUCUGGACACACCACCUUUAAGAACUGUAACACUCAGCGCGAGGGUUCGCGGCUUCAUUCUUGAAGUCAGUGAGACCAAGAACCCACCAAUUCCGGACACAAUGCCUUGUUCAUUUUUUCUUUUUAUCUUUUGUAGAGACAGGAUGCACUUUUUUGCCCAACUGUGUCUCAAGCUCCUGACCGCAAGUGAUACUUCCACUUUGGCCUCCCAAAGUGUUUAGACUAUAUGCACAAGCCAUUGUGCUCAGCCUUAAGACAUUCCUAUAUUGCUACAACUGAAAAUUUUUUUUUCCUAUUCUAUGCUACUUCUUUAAUGCAAAAGGAUAUAUUAAUUUUUUAAAACUUUAUGGUAUAGUCCAAUAAAAUAGGUAAGGGGGAGGUCAAGGCUAGUUACUAUAGUCUGAUAAGAAGGUAUUUUAUUCUCAGCAGAAAAUUGUAUUUCUGGAGGAAAAAUGCUACACAACUUUGUUAAACAAAGAAUCUGUUCUCUCUCUCUUCUGAAAUGUUGAAGCAUGAUUUAAAGAAGUGACUGGGUCUCUCUUGAUUAGCUGGCACAGCAGCCAAUAGUUCUAAUCUGAUGACUACAAAUAAAAUUACUGCAAG